CUCCAGAACUUAUAGAUUAUAAUUGAUAGUUUUUAUGUCGAGCUUGCGACAUUAAACAAAGCGCUUAGUGGGAGACAACCCACAAAUAUUUAUAUUUUUUUAUUUCUUCCUUAAUUAUUCUUUUAAUUUUUGUUUAGUAUUCAUUCUUAAUUUAUUUUAAUUUAUUAAAAACUUUUCUCUUCUUCUUUCGGCAUUUGGCCAAAUCCUGACUAAAACUCUU
rnacentral:lncRNA from 1 species